rnacentral:rRNA from 1 species
UAAAACCAGCACCUCAAGUGGUCAGGAUGAUUAUUGGGCCUAAAGCAUCCGUAGCCGGCUUUGUAAGUUUUCGGUUAAAUCCAUGUGCUCAACGCAUGGGCCGCCGAAAAUACUGCAUAGCUAGGGAGUGGAAGAGGUAGACGGUACUCAGUAGGUAGGGGUAAAAUCCUUUGAUCUAUUGAUGACCACCUGUGGCGAAGGCGGUCUACCAGAACACGUUCGACGGUGAGGGAUGAAAGCUGGGGGAGCAAACCGGAUUAGAUACCCGGGUAGUCCCAGCUGUAAACGAUGCAGACUCGAUGAUGCAUUGGCAUAAUAGCCAUUGCAGUGUCGCAGGGAAGCCGUUAAGUCUGCCGCCUGGGAAGUACGUACGCAAGUAUG